UUUCCGUAGGUGAACCUGCGGAAGGAUCAUACGCGUCAUCCAAUCCGCCGGUGACGGCAGCGUCCGUUGCUCGGCCAAGUCCUCGACCGCCUCCCCUCCUCGGAGUGGGGGCUCGGGGUAAAAGAACCCACGGCGCCGAAUGCGUCAAGGAACACUGUGCCUAACCCGGGGGCAUGGCUAGCUUGCUAGUCGUCCCCCGUGUUGCAAAGCUAUUUAAUCCACACGACUCUCGGCAACGGAUAUCUCGGCUCCU
rnacentral:misc_RNA from 1 species